UGCACAGGAGCAGACCAGUUACACAGUAA
rnacentral:piRNA from 1 species